AAAAGGGCUUUAUUUAAAGCCCCAAAAAAACAAAAAAAACUUUAAG
rfam:Capsella rubella cultivar Monte Gargano unplaced genomic scaffold scaffold_3, whole genome shotgun sequence.